rnacentral:rRNA from 1 species
UACGGGGGGAGCAAGCGUUGUUCGGAAUUACUGGGCGUAAAGGGCGUGUAGGCGGCCUUGUAAGUCGGGGGUGAAAUCCACUGGCUCAACCAGUGACGUGCCUUCGAAACUGCUUGGCUUGAGUAUGGCAGAGGAGAGCGGAAUUCCAGGUGUAGCGGUGAAAUGCGUAGAUAUCUGGAAGAACACCGGUGGCGUAGGCGGCCCACUGGAUCGGUACUGACGCUGAGGUGCGAAAGCGUGGGGAGCAAACAGG